GUCCACGCCGUAAAACGAUGUCUACUAGUUGUCGGGUCUUAAUUGACUUGGUAACGCAGCUAACGCGUGAAGUAGACCGCCUGGGGAGUACGGUCGCAAGAUUAAAACUCAAAGGAAUUGACGGGGACCCGCACAAGCGGUGGAUGAUGUGGAUUAAUUCGAUGCAACGCGAAAAACCUUACCUACCCUUGACAUGUACGGAAGGCCGAAGAGAUUUGGCUGUGCUCGAAAGAGAACCGUAACACAGGUGCUGCAUGGCUGUCGU
rnacentral:rRNA from 1 species